UAUUGUAGUACACCCUUCUCAAAAAUCAGACCUUAACUAGCAUAAAAUCGAAAGUUGUAUUCCUAACAUAUUUGCCACCAAAAAACAACAAAAUGCAGUAUUUCUCAGAACUUACUAGUAGCCCAGACUUCCGUUGAAGCUCAAAAGAUGAGCAAUAUACUCAGGUACAUACACAACAAAUUUCAGAUCUUAACUCAAACAAAUAAGCUACUUCUAUUCCUAACAUAUUUUCGGAGGUACACAUCUUUAGACAGCCAUUUCAUAGUGAUGAUGUCAUAUGAUGUAACAGGUGGUGGUCCAAUGGAAGCACCAAUAGUUGAACUUUCAGUACCUGCACUCAAAUAGAUCAUAUCACCUUUACUUCAGAAGAUAUGCCACAAAAUGUGAAAAAUAAUAAUAUAAAAAAAAAUCUACUCUCUUUGGUUGUUGCACUGUAUACAGACUGUUGACAGCUGUAGCUUAUGCGCAUGCGCUAGCUUGAGGCAGAGAUGACGUCACCUGACUACAAAAAGAGAAAUGAGACAAAGCUCUGAAAGAUGAGAAAAAAUCAUGCUGCUCGUCACAAGAGGAGCUGCUGGUCCAAAAAGACAGCUUGAAGAAGACUAUACAGUCCAUAGUCUACCUAUGAACAGAAAAAGGUUUGCACGUUGUUAUGGACUUUUGAAGCUGGAACACUGGCCAAUUUUACAAGGCUCCCAUCUGAAGUUUUUUCACUUUUGAUAAAGAGGUGUUGAAGAAUGCUCCCAGAUAAUGCUGCCGAGUUGAAGUCUGGACUAAUUACACACUAGAUGUUGUCAGAAGAAUGAACUAAAGAUAAAGCAACAGUUUCCUGUUGCGAGAUAUCUUCGAGAUGAAAAAGAGCCCUUGUAAUGUGUACAGCACACUGUAAUAAUUCAAGCUGUUGACUGACUUCAUAGUACGCCGGUAAGAUUAUUCACAGUGGUGUGUUCUUCUUUUAAUCUCCUAACUCUUCUUCAGAUGUUGCAAAACUCAAGGUUUGUUUAUUGUUUUCAUCUUUAGCACUCGUUACACAUGUUAUUUAAUACAUUUCUUUAUUGGGAUGCCGAGUUGGAGUCUGGAUGUGUUAGAUUGAAGUUUUUAGACGAAUGAUAAAGAGAAUUUAACAAUUGCCUGUGUACAGCUGGCGAGCUAUCUCAGAGAUGAAGAAUGGCCCUUCAAGCUGUUCACUGACUUCAUAGUACGCCGAGUCUAUCUUUGUGUAUCUGCACAAAAACAAGACGAAUAUAAAUACAUGCCACCGUGGGAUGUGAAGACACGGACAUGAUAAUGAGAGACAUAAUUAUAUAAUGUAGCUGAACAGAAAUUAAUAUAAUUAUCUUGUUCUUGUCUUCUUUGUCUUUGAAUUGUGACCUUUUGAAGCAUGA